rnacentral:lncRNA from 1 species
GAUGUGCAUAGAAUAGAACUUCUACCCUGUAAGUUGGGGCUAGAUGGGCAAAAAGAACCUCGGUGUUUUGUUUUGUUUUGUUUUGUUUUGUUUUGUUUUUUGUUCUGUUCUUGAGCUAUUGCUCACAAUAGAGCUUCGGCACCACAGGGCUAGUGGGUGAUAAGGAAAGUAAAUGCUGUGCUCCUUCCUUUCAGGGUAGCCCUAGACUGAGGGCUAGGGAAAAGGAGAGCCCCCUUCUUGGCCACCUGCCUGGAGCAGUUUCCACAGCAGAGAGAGGGAACAAGGGAAGAAAACAAGUUGUGGUUUAAAUGUGUUGUGACUCUUGUUCUUACCAAGAUUUAGUACACGUUCUUCUCCAUUUAAUAUACAUACUAUCUUUUAUAAAUUUUAUCGAUAAGAUACUUGCUGUGGUAUGCCAGCAUCCUCACUUCACCAUUUCAGUUCCUGCCCUGAUCUGAACACCUUAAAGAAAACUCGGUAAUCUUUACAGCCAAAUUUCUGAUCUUUAUUUCCCCAUUAGUGCAUAAAAGCAAAGGAAGAAAUGUAGGAAAGAACAUAUAAACACAUACACGCGUGCGCGCACACACACACACACACACUUCUCUGGAAAGGAUUCCAGAAAUAUAGGAAGCAAAACUUUCAAUUGUCAUUCUUUCCAAAGGCAGGCACAGUUAAUGUCUGCCCCAAGGGUCCUUCCGAAUCUGCAGACUCAGAUUAAGAAAAAGUAAUUAAGUGACACAUGAACAACUUAACAUGAAAAUCACUGCUUUUUCUAUUAUGUUUCUAGUCAUUCAUACCUAGAGAAAUUCCUUACUGAGCAGAUGAUGGAAAGGAGGGAAGAUGUAUGGCUUCCACUCAUCUCCUAUAGGAAUUCAUUAGUCACUGGGGGUGAAGAUGAUAGAAUGUCUGUGAACAGUGGAAGCAGCAGCAGCAAAACCUCCUCAGUAAGAAAUAAGAAAGGACGACCCCCACUUCACAAAAAACGAGUAGAAGAUGAAAGUCUGGAUAACACAUGGCUAAACAGGACAGAGACCAUGAUUCAGACUCCCGGCCCCCUCCCAGCCCCACAGCUUACUUCCACUGUGCUGCGAGAGAAUAGCCGGCCCUUGGGAGAGCAGAUGCAAGAACCUGAGUCUGAACAUGGCUCGGAACCAGACUUUUUACACAAGUAAGUACUAAAAGUUCGUUUUCUUGGCAUAAAACGCGUCAUUUUCAAAGAAACUAAAUUAUUUAAAAAGAACUUCAUUGCUAGGUAUGGUGUGCAUGCUUGUAAUCCUAGCACUUGCGAGGCAGGAGUAUCAUAAGAAAAAACGUUGUUCAUCACAGCAUACUGCUGGUGAGAUCUUGAAAGUUAAGCCACAGAGGGAGUUUAUAUGAAAAGACACAUAAGAAGUCUGCAAAGUUUGGUGGAUACUGAAACCUCAAAGUUCAGGGACCUUCAUUGAUCUAGCACAAUGAGGGCAGACCUUUUAGAGACUGAGCACCCAAACUAGAACCCAGAAUCCACUUAUUUUUUGCACAGUGCAGACACUACAAUUAAAUUUGAAUACUGAAGUUUUAGUUUAGAAAAAAAAACAACUCAUAUAUUAACAUCUUUUGUCUUAAAAGAAAAACACAAUAACAUGCAUGACAUAGGUUCGUCACCCUGAUCAAAUAGAACAAACUUUGUUACUAGCUUUGAUUUUAUCUUUCAAGAUGGAAUGGUAACCUCUCACUACCAACAUCAAAGGGAUAUGUUAAAGUGAAGUGAGGAAGACUGUGAAGAAACUUUGGAAAUAUUAAAUGGAUACCAGUCAGUAUUAUUAAAUUGCAUUCUUUGUUUUGUCUGCUAGGAAAGACAUUUUUUGCACAGUCCUCUAUGUUGCCAAUGAAAGUAUCUUUUGCUCUUAAUUCUUUUUAAAAAAAUUUUUUUUUUCUUUUCCAUGCCUGUAAUGACAGGCAUGGUGGUGCAUGCCUGUCAUUACAGCACUCAGGAAGCUGAAACAGUAAGAUCGCUAGAAGUUCAGGGCCAGCACGUAACACAGCAAGACUCUGUGU